CAAUCUAUGAAUGUACUAAUAGAUUAAAUGAGGUCAGCCUAUUAAAACACUGUUCACUUUAAAAAGGGGCUAAGACCUGAGUUUCCCGAAUAAAACCUGCUUCCUAAAAACGGGCCCCUGGUAGUUUAACUAAAACCCUCCUUCUGAAGACCUGCAUCUUAUCCUGGUUAUAGUCUGGUGUUACUACCCCAUGAUGUGAGGGCUGUAGUUUGGACUGUAGUCAGGACUAUGCUGACUUCAUGUUUAUUGACAAGUUUGUGGAAGGAGUCUGGCUGCUACAUUCUGACCGUACUACAGCCUUGAUAGAGUCGGUUUUGGAAGCCGUUGUAAUAAGGUUACUAAUAUGUUUUAAAGAUUGAAUCAAUAUCAAGAAGGACAAUACACGGUUCUUGAUCUUCUCACUGAUUUGUGCAGGUUCAAAUGAUGAGAUGACAGGUAGACAUGCACCUGUGAGCGCUAAUCGUAGAAAUUAAAGCUGCCAAAGGGAACAUGAAGCUCUAGUGGAUUAUGACUGAGUGAAGCUACUGUGUUUCUCAUUGUCUCCCUUAUUACUUGCAGUGUUUCAUUGGCAGGCCACCAUAAUGGGUCCAGGAGACAGUCCGUACCAAGGAGGAGUUUUUUUUCUCACAAUCCACUUCCCUACUGAUUACCCGUUCAAGCCACCAAAGGUAAGAAGAACUAGUCUGCUUCCAGAUCUGUCCUGUCACCUCUUGAACUUUUAAUUUUCUUAUAUUUCAAAUCUUCUGUUGUCUUCUUUUAGAUUUAAUGAACAAGCUCUAUACACCUAUGCUAACAUUGGUGAAAAUUUGAGACAUACACAUUCACAUAAAUAUAUUCUAAUAAAAUAUGAGAUUAAGACUUGAAACACAGUCUGAAGAACACUUUAUUUAAUUUAUCACCCAAAUAUAAACAGCAACGGCAGUAUCUGUUUGGACAUUCUACGGUCGCAGUGGUCUCCAGCACUAACAGUGUCUAAAGUUUUAUUGUCUAUAUGUUCACUGCUUCGUGAUCCAAACCCAGAUGAUCCCUUGGUUCCAGACAUAGCACACAUCUACAAGAAUGACAAAGACAA